CAGGGGUCUGGGCCAAGAGGGAGGGGAAGUUCCUGGAGAAGCGCCAAAGAUCAUGGGAAGCAGGUGCAUAGGUCCAGGAGUGUGGCCGAUCCAGUCUAGUACCAGCCUGACACAAACUAAGGACACCUGGAAAGGCAGAACUUCGAUGAAGCUCAACACCUCUAAAUCUGCCCUCAGCUUAGUCGCCCAGUUACCUUCUGUGAAGCCCAUUGGUCUUGCCCAAGAACAAUUGCAAGCUCAAGAUGCUUUUCCCGCUGCCCUUCGGUGAGCUGCUUUCCUCUUCCGCCUACAUUUUGGAAGAUCUCCUCUGUAGCUCUGAGUCUGUUCCAGCGGGAACCUGGAAGUCCUGCCUCUUUCUUUCCUCCCAAGCCAUUGGCUGCUGGCAUCUUUAUUGAUGAGUUAAGGACCUUCAGUAGCAGUACUCCCUGCUCGCAUAUUCCCAAUUAAAUCAAAGCAUCAGAAUCAUUCCUGUACAUCAGGGAGCAGACGUGAACUGCACGCAUGGCACCCUGAAGCCCCUGCACUGCGCCUGCAUGGUGUCCGACGCCGACUGCGUGGAGUUGCUCCUGGAGAAGGGAGCAGAGGUCAACGCCCUGGAUGGCUACAACCGAACAGCCCUCCACUAUGCAGCAGAGAA
rnacentral:lncRNA from 1 species